rnacentral:rRNA from 1 species
CACAAGCGGUGGAGCAUGUGGUUAAUUCGAAGCAACGCGAAGAACCUUACCAGGUCUUGACAUCCCUGACAACCCAAGAGAGUUCGGGCGUUCCCCGUUCGGGGGGACAGGGUGACAGGUGGUGCAUGGUUGUCGUCAGCUCGUGUCGUGAGAUGUUGGGUUAAGUCCCGCAACGAGCGCAACCCUCGCCUCUAGUUGCCAGCAUUCGGUUGGGCACUCUAGAGGGACUGCCGGCGACAAGUCGGAGGAAGGUGGGGAUGACGUCAAAUCAUCAUGCCCCUUAUGACCUGGGCUACACACGUGCUACAAUGGGUGGUACAAAGAGAUGCAAUCUCGCAAGAGCAAGCAAACCUCAAAAAGCCAUCCUCAGUUCGGAUUGGAGUCUGCAACUCGACUCCAUGAAGUCGGAAUCGCUAGUAAUCGCGGAUCAGCACGCCGCGGUGAAUACGUUCCCGGGCCUU